GGGGACGUGGCGGAAUUGGCAUACGCGCUAGCCUUAGGAGCUAGUUCCUUUACCGGAUUGUGGGUUCAAGUCCCACCGUCCCCACCA
rnacentral:tRNA from 1 species